rnacentral:rRNA from 1 species
UGGGGAAUUUUGGACAAUGGGCGAAAGCCUGAUCCAGCAAUGCCGCGUGUGUGAAGAAGGCCUUCGGGUUGUAAAGCACUUUUGUCCGGAAAGAAAUCCUUGGCUCUAAUACAGUCGGGGGAUGACGGUACCGGAAGAAUAAGCACCGGCUAACUACGUGCCAGCAGCCGCGGUAAUACGUAGGGUGCAAGCGUUAAUCGGAAUUACUGGGCGUAAAGCGUGCGCAGGCGGUUUGCUAAGACCGAUGUGAAAUCCCCGGGCUCAACCUGGGAACUGCACUGGUGACUGGCAGGCUAGAGUAUGGCAGAGGGGGGUAGAAUUCCACGUGUAGCAGUGAAAUGCGUAGAGAUGUGGAGGAAUACCGAUGGCGAAGGCAGCCCCCUGGGCCAAUACUGACGCUCAUGCACGAAAGCGUGGGGAGCAAACAGGAUUAGAUACCCUGGUAGUCCACGCCCUAAACGAUGUCAACUAGUUGUUGGGGAUUCAUUUCCUUAGUAACGUAGCUAACGCGUGAAGUUGACCGCCUGGGGAGUACGGUCGCAAGAUUAAAACUUAAAGGAAUUGACGGGGUCAUAGCUGUUUCCU